rnacentral:pre_miRNA from 1 species
UAUACUCCCUCCGUCCCAUAUUAUCUGUCCACUUCUAUUAGGGGAAAAGUGGACAGAUAAUAUGGGACGGAGGGAGUAA